GCCUGCGGCUGUAGCACCUACUCUCUAUAUCAUUACAUAGUAAAAGCUAAGCAGGGUUGGAAGGGGUCAGUACUUGGUUUGGAGACCUCCAAAGCAUAUCUGUAUGCUGCAGAUA
rnacentral:rRNA from 1 species